rnacentral:rRNA from 1 species
UACGUAGGAUGCAAGCGUUGUCCGGAAUUAUUGGGCGUAAAGAGCGCGCAGGCGGUAUGACAAGUCAGAUGUGAAAGAGGCCGGCUUAACCGGCAAGGGUCAUUUGAAACUGUCAGACUAGAGUGCAGCAGAGGAUAGUGGAAUUCCCGGUGUAGUGGUGAAAUGCGUAGAUAUCGGGAGGAACACCGGUGGCGAAGGCGGUUCUCUGGGCCUUACCUGACGCUGAGGAGCGAAAGCGUGGGGAGCGAACAGG